GUAGCUGCUGAGGCGUCAAACAUGAUUGGGUUAAAUAUACAUUGUAAAGAUCCCAGCGUGUAAGGGAGAGAGUCCAGAUCAAACGCUGACGGAUCACGUGGUUCGUAAUCACAAAACCGAAACCUUUAAGUAGAUUUGGACAUAGAAAUCCCCCUGGAGUGGUCAUGUCGAGAUCAGUAAGUCAAUUUUAGAUGUUUUAAUGAGCUAAUUAUGAUGCACAAAAGAGCUGAGACAUCUGAGUUUAUUGCAACCCCAAUCUAGAUGAUUGACACAGAGGACAACAGUGAUUCUGAGUGAGUUCAGACUAUUGUCGUCAUAGUUAUUUUCAUGAUAGAGACAUUUUGGGUUUUCAUUGAUCUGCUCAUGGUCGUUCUCUCCUUAUGAUUCUCGCUGACUCAUACCGCGAUGCUGCUUACCGUAACUACUGUAACCUCACAGUGCCUCAUGUUGUGGUUUUACACAGGGGGUGUUGUUCAUGUAACACCUGUAAACCCCGGGCUCGUCUUCCCAGCACCUACACAGCUCAGCCGGUUUACGGUACGCGUGACACUGCGGAGGUCGCGCGAAGGGAAAGGAGAGGAGGCUCGAUGAGUCUCCUUCUUCCUGUCUCACUGACAAGCAUUUGAUUGGGAUCCUCCAGAGAAGCUUUGCAACAACAGGUGGGUCAAAGAGGAUCAAUUAAACUGGAGCAUCUGUCUUUAUAAUUAUCCUUCACACAACUCAAUCCUACUGCCACAAACAGGAUUUCUUUAUUUUACAAAGAAAAUAACUCAAUAACUCAUUAACUGCCACAAAAGUGAACACACCUCUAAGUGAAAAUGUCAAAAUUGGGCCCAAUUAGCCAUUUUAUCUCCCAGUGUCAUGUAACGUGUUAUUGUUACAGUCUCAGGUGUGGUAUAUUUGGUGUUAAUGCUCUCACUCUCUCAUAGAGCAGCAUCAUAGUUUAUGUCUGGGAAAUGGACGUAUAAGACGUAUAAGUGUUAACUGGGGUCAGUUAAUUGAGGGAACCAUGAAUUCCAACAUGUACUGUGACACUGAAGCAGAGCAUCAUAGACUGUGACGCUGGGCUUCCAACAUUAUCACGACCCCCCCAAACACAUACCUGAGAUGAGCGCUGCCUUGCUAAAGAGGUCAAGGGUAAGAUAAUGCACUGGCCAAGCAUGUCUCCAGACCUAAACCCUAUUGAGCAUCUAUGCGUCAAACGGAAGGUGGAGGUGCACAAGCUGUCUUGCAUCCAGCUCAAUGAUGUCAUCAUGGAGGAGUGGAAGAGGACUCUGGUGAACACGGAGUAAAGGCAGUGCUGGAAAAUAAAGGUGGCCACACAGAUUAUUGACA
rnacentral:lncRNA from 1 species